CAGAGAAACAGAGGGAGAUGUGGAUGGUUGGACGCUAGACUCCUCCUUUUCCUCCUCCCCCUCAUGAGGGCCUGUUGCUCCCGGCAACCAGCACUCAAUGGAUUCCUCCAUAUCCAAGAGGCUGAGCACGCACACACUUUAGCAGAAAAGUAGAAAUACAAACUUGUUGACUGUUAAACUGCAUCUAAGGACUUGGCCAUAACUAGCAAAAUGUAAGGUAAACACGGUGCUAUGAGAAAUAUUUGCCCCUGUACAGAUGUUUUCUGUUUUUGCUUUUUUAAUCAGACUUGAAGCUACCAUGGCAAAUUUGGAAAACAAGUUAGCUUAAAACAUUUUUUCAUGCCUCUUAACAGCGUUCUAACAUAGCACAGCUAUAAAUUUAUUGUGGAGAUUUAAAAAAAAUUAAAUAAGUGAUAAAGUGGUUCUCUCAUUUGUUGAAAAUCCUUCACCAGUAACACGGUUCUGACCAAGAGCAACCACUUACCUGAGGCCUCCAUUCAUUACGCAGUUUCGUAUUUAGUAACAGAACACCACUGGUGUGAGAUGUUAGCCACUCAGUAAUAUCAGAGGAGAAACAGCCGGCUGCUACCUUAAAACUAACUACCAGAGUUACCAGAGUCAUGCACAUCAAAAAUGUUUGGUUUAGAAAAUAGUGACUGGUGUAUAGCACUCUCUCGUUUUCUCUGGCAAUGUGGAUUUCUAGUCCCGGUGGAUGCUGAACACGUGCAGAUGUCUGAGGGGAGGGGUGUUCCAUGACUGUUUGCAUUCAAAACCUAGCUUGAUUGCAGAUUUGCUAUAGCAGCUUUACAAGUUUCAGAUCAGUAGACAUGUUUUAUUAUCAGACAAAGAUAACCUGAGUAAAUACAAAAUGUAGUUUUCAUAUAAGGAUUUCAUUUAUUUAGGCAGAAGAAUAUUCAAACCAGCCUAGGCUUUUUUGGAAAAUGAAUGAAGCCCAGAACUUAAAAAUCAAGUUCACUUGUUUUUGAAUAUAUUUGCAGUGGUUUCUAAUAUUAAUUAAUGUUCUUGUGAGUAGAUCUCUGUGGCAAAAAAAGCUCUGGUAAUCCUGUUUCAGGAUCUAGAAAUGAGCCAGAUCAGAGUUCAGCACAGCAGAAUUUGUUUCCUGAUAUUUGGACAUCUCGCCUCGGAUUGGCUAACAGCAAUACGACUCUACCAUUGACUCAGUUUGUUUUGCAACGUUGAUGUUUAAUCUCCACAAAUAACACAAAUCUGGAGGAGUUCUGCCAUACUGAGGGAUUGCUAAUGCUAACAGUUAGCCUCUACUUGCCGAGACAGGCUCUCCCGGACGCUAAAUCAACAACAGAGUUCCCCGUCAUGAGCCAAAAUGGGUAAGUCCAUGAAUGUUAAUUUUCAGUGUGACGCAGAUCUGACAGCUUUUCUAAUCACAAUGUUUCCCUGUCUCUUUUCAAUCUGCAGCUAACGCAAGAAAUGGAGGUAGAAGACCAUUUUCACGCUAAGCCUGCAUGUGAAACUCAAAGUGGCUGAUCGAUCUCAAAAUAAUAAGUCAAAGUUUAUCAGUGAACUUGGCCUUUAAUAACUGGUUGGAGGUCUGCUCUGCUGCUGUCCCUGCUUUGAUUCUCAUCUGAGGAGCGCCAAAACUACAAAACCAGUGCAGCCUUACAGAAUUGGGUGGUCCACCAGAGUAAUGUGGAACAGGCGAGGACGCAUAAAAGCACCAACUGUUGGCGUUUCGCAACGAGCAGACAUCAAAGGGAUUGGGCGCCCGCUGGAAAGUGACCCGUGGUCCAGUCUGGCUCAGUCUGUCGCCCACCGAACAUCCGAGCUGCCGAGAUCACAGCCCUGAUGCAACAGAUCUGCUUCGCGUCGUCCCAUGAGACAUACAGACCCACAUCACUGGCACCCCAAAGUUCUGGUCAGGACACCUGCUGGAUGGGAUGGACAAACACUGAAGCUCCAGUGGAGGCAUAAUUGUUUGGUUUUGUUCUAUGUUUGGUUCCUCGUGUUUAAUGUCAGCCCUUUUUCUGUAUUUUUACUCAACAGUUCAAGGUUUUCUAUUUAAUCCUGUUUAUUCUCCUUACUGAACUUUACUUAUCAGCUACAGUCCACGUCACGACAAUUUAUCCCUGCUAACUAAAUUUAAAGGUAGUUUUCACUUAACUAUGUUUGUGUCGCUUAGGCUAGAUGAUUAUGCAGAUUUCUGACCUGAUAUCCCCUUCCAACAAUCUUAAUGACACCCUGACUACCUUAAUGACUCUAAAGAUAAUCUUAUCAGAUUUUCCUGCCGUGUGUGGUACGUUAAGAGCAUUUUGAUCUGUUCAGAAGCACUUUGGAACCAAUCAGACCAUGAAUCGGGGAUAUUUAACAUGUUGGUUUGUUUUGUCUCGAUCUGAUGACAAACAGGCCCGCUGAAUGUGAUGUGUAGCCAAAUGUGAAUGUGAGGUGAUGGAAGCACAAAGUCACUUAUGAUCUCAAGCAUUUUAGAGAUUUUCUACGUAAUCUGCGAAUGCCCAUGAGUAAGAUUGCUUUGCGUGUCUAGUUUGUGUUGUAUUCAUGUUUGUUUUUAUCACCAAAUGUGGGAUCUGAAAUGUUUUGAAAAGUGUCCAAAAGCCUUUAAAUCCUGCUGUGUGAGCCAGGCCUAAGUCAGAAGUUUACCACCCGAAGCUUGUAGCUGCAUAUAAGAGAGACACAUGUCUUGCCCAGAUAUACCAGCCUAUCUUGAAUUUUGUUUUAGUUUUUUUUUCCAAUACAUUUUUAACAAUAAGACUACUGGAAGCUGUUUUGUUCACCAAAAAUUGUAUUUUUUCCGUAGGUGUGUAGUUUCCCUGGCAAUACCUAAAUCAUUGUAGGCAAGCGGUAUUUUUGUGUUCGAUGAAGACCUUGGACCAUGUGAUAUUUCAAUAUUUCUUUUACAAUAACUCAGCAGACAUUUCUAAAAUUAUGUAUUUUUCUGUAAACAUGGGGUGCUAUGUGUACGUUAAUGAGGGGGGAAAUUAAUUUAAUUGAUUUUAGCAAAUGGCUGAAAUAUAACAAAAGAGUGAAAAACUGACAAGGGUCUGAAUACUUUCCGUACCCACUGUACUUGUCUGUGAGGAAGAUUGUCAAUUCUACAUCAAGGUACACCAUCAAACUCAUUCUGUGGUUGACAUCU